GAUGAACGCUGGCGGCGUGCCUAAUACAUGCAAGUCGAGCGAAUGGAUUAAGAGCUUGCUCUUAUGAAGUUAGCGGCGGACGGGUGAGUAACACGUGGGUAACCUGCCCAUAAGACUGGGAUAACUCCGGGAAACCGGGGCUAAUACCGGAUAACAUUUUGAACCGCAUGGUUCGAAAUUGAAAGGCGGCUUCGGCUGUCACCUAUGGAUGGACCCGGGUCGCAUUAGCUAGGUGGUGAGGUAACGGCUCACCAAGGCAACGACGCGUAGCCGACCUGAGAGGGUGAUCGGCCACACUGGGACUGAGACACGGCCCAGACUCCUACGGGAGGCAGCAGUAGGGAAUCUUCCGCAAUGGACGAAAGUCUGACGGAGCAACGCCGCGUGAGAGAUGAAGGCUUUCGGGUCGUAAAACUCUGUUGUUAGGGAAGAACAAGUGCUAGUUGAAUAAGCUGGCACCUUGACGGUACCUAACCAGAAAGCCACGGCUAACUACGUGCCAGCCGCCGCAGUAA
rnacentral:rRNA from 1 species